rnacentral:rRNA from 1 species
UCCCAGCGGUCCAAGUCGCAACCUCAAUUAUUGGGUCUAAAACAUCUGUAGCUUGUUUGUUAAGUCUCCUGUGAAAUUCUAACUCUUAAGGUUAGAGCGUGCAGGAGAUACUGGCAGACUAGAGACUGGGGGAUGUAAGGAGUACAUUCAAGGAAGUGGUAAAAUACGUUGAUCUUGGAUGGACUAACAAUAGCGAAGGCACCUUACAAUAACAGUUCUGACAGUGAGAGAUGAAGGCUAGGGGCGCGAAAUG